UUGAAAGGGAAACGAUUGAAGUCAGUCGUACCGACGAGAAAAUCAGCUUAUCGUGUGUAAACUUGUGGGUGUGCGUGAGUUUCGGCCUCGCUGUUUGCAUGUUUGUGCUCUUUGGGUGUACUUUUUCGUAUGGUAGGCCAAACAUCAGUUUCGAUUACUAUAAAAUGACUGGCGGAAUGUAGCUUCGAUUUCGGUUGAAGUGUUAAUAGCCUCUGGUAGAUGUGGUGAUUGGGACUGAGGAUUGCAACGAAUAUCCUUGGGGCUAUCCGUCUGGGCCUCUGAAAAGUUGCUUGGGGUGCUGAAAAGCUUGCUUAUGGUUAUCUAAAGUUAACGGUCAAAUAGGUUAGAACGUGAUUACAUUCGUUAAAGGAUGUUGACGUAAGUCGACUGCCAA
rnacentral:rRNA from 1 species